GUGCUCACUUUGGAAACACGUAUACUAAAAUUGGAAUGACACAGAGAAGGUCAGCAUGGCUCCUGUGCAAGGUUGACAUGCAGAUUCAUGAAGUGGUCCAUAUUUUU